UGGACUGUGGGAGGAACCCAGAGAACCGGAGAGAACCCACCAUGCACAGGGAGAACAUGCAGACAGAAAGACUUCGGGUCGGGAAUCAAACUCAGGACCUUCUUGCUGCAAGGCAACAGCUCUACCAACUGCGCCACUGUGCAGCCCACUCUAGAAAUGCUUCCAGAAUAUUUGUUGUUGCAGUUUGGCCUCCAUCCAGCACAGGGCGCUGCCGAGCUAGUUGAUGCUGAAAUAAGCAUGGUGGAGAGUCCGUACUAGGAGGGAAAGAGAAGCGGUCCAAACAAAGUCCGGAGUGGGAUGGAAAAUAGCCUUAGCGCGGUUCUAAAAGCUGCUGAUGUUUGAAACUAUGAAGGAGAGAAAAGCCGAGAAAUUAACAAAUAUGAAAUAAAUCAACUUUCUCUGUUCAGUCAGGAUUUUACACAGCUGACUCAAAACGUUCAAACUUCAUAAUUUUUUUAAUUCAGCAAACAAACGGUGCCGAUCCAAGGCCAACUUCAGAUGAAUCAAUCACUGACCUGUGGAGGCCGAGUCAUGCUGCGGGCUCAGAUUAAAACUAAAUAUUUAAUAGCUUUUUAUUCUCAGUCCUCCAGAUGAUUUCUGCAGAUCCUACCCACGGGUCCAGAGGUCAGAGGUCAACCUCUGAUCUAUGCUGCACCAACAUUCCCACCAGCAGCCGUACUGGGAACCAGUGGAGGCGUUUGAACAGGAUGAUUGUUCUGGAAAAAAACCUUCUGAUGGAAAAAUGCUGGAGCCGAGCGGGAUCCCUGAGGAGUGAUAUGUUUCUGAUCAGAACCAGAGCUGGAUCAGAACCAUACCCGGAUCAGAACCAGAGCUGGAUCAUCAUGAAAGGAAUGAAAACUAUUCCAGACGGUUUUCAUCCACAGGCUGCACCCAUCUGAGGAACAACAGCAAUCUGGGAACCGGGUCGGACCAGAACCCACACACCCACCUCUGGUGUGAACUCCGGCCCGAUCCCAACCUGUUCCUGUCAGUGAAAACGGCUGCAGCCACCCAACCGUUUCCUAUCGGGUCGUCGGUCAGAGCCGGGUCGGUUUCUCUGAACCCCAACAUUCAGCAGAUUCUGUGACAGCAAACCGACGUGGCGUCUGAAUAGUGCGGCAUGCAUUUCCUGUGACUGCUCUAAGGAACAGGAGUCACUACUAGUCAAACUCGGUUCAUCACCUGGACAUGGAGAAGGACCGGCUGGAUGGGAUGCUUUGGAUCAGAGCCCAUUCAUGGGUUAGAAUGGCCUAGUCAAAGUCCAGAUAUGAAUCUAACAGAAUCACUGAACAGACUUGAGACGUUUAAACCAGAAGACCUGCAGCCAGCAGAUUCUACUGAGUUCUGAUUCAAAUACCUGCCACACUUUUCAGACCAUAAUGUAUGUACAAAUAGCACAAAAUUGUUAAAUAAUCAUCCUUCACCUUUUGAUUGAACUACGCCAUUCUGCUCCAUCUCAUAAAACAAUAAAAUACUUUGAAGGUCCAGAAAGAAUGUGAGAAAAUGAAGGUGUGAAUACUUUUAUAUGUAUGAAACGCUGAGUCAGCAGAACGAAACGCUGAGUCAGCACUCAGUGACCUGAGUGAGUCUCAGCUAGCUGACAGGAACCACGGCCCCGAACGGAGCACGCUCAGUAGGGACGCCGGAGGAAAACCAAGAUGGCGGAACCAGUGUGCUGGCUCAGCGGUGCAGACGGACUCACCACCAAGCAACUUUUAAAGGAGCAGAAAAACAGAACGACGGAGCAGGAAGCGUUCGGCUUUUAAAACAGAUCCUAAUGAAUGAUGUGGAUGGAAACUCCAGAGAGGCCUGUGUUGAGACAUGAGGACAAAAAGCUUCUGAACCAGGAACUCUCCAGGGAACGCCGCUAAGAUGGCCGACAGAGAGCAGCUAAUGGCAGCAGGCGAGACGCAGAGUAGCAGCCUACAGGAAACUCCGGCUGCAGCUUCAGGAUGGGAAACUCUGCAGAAGAAGAAGACAGAAAGCGGAGGAAGGAAACGUGACUGCUGCAUUCCUGAAGGAGAAGAAGAAGAAAUCCCUCACAUACAGGUUUGGAUCUGUCCAGAACCACCUGCAGGUCCAAUUCAGUUCUCAGAGGAAAAGGAGGAGAGACGUGAUGAAGGUCACAGGUCAACCCAGAACCUCCGGCUGGACCUCACAGGUCUGCCAGAACCGGGCCCAACAGAACCUGCGAUGGUAAAACUGGAGCUGAACAUCAUGAAACCAACAGAAAGAGCCAGAAACGUUCCGCUGCUGCUACACCGCCCCCUGCUGGCCGCUACCGGAACUGCAGGUAGAACCACCGGCUGAACCGGAUCCCGUCCUCCAGCAGAACCCAAAGACUGCAGAGGAGGAAGAGGAGGAGGAGGAAGAGUCUGCAGUGAAAUUCACUUUAAUGGAUCCGACUGGAACCAACAUGGCAGACAGACAACUAGGCAGAACCAAGAUGGAGCAACCUUUGACUGGACCAGACAGUCCAUUUGUCCAGCAGAUGGAGCUUGGACCAAACCGGGUCAGAACAGAACCAGGAACCUCCACAACAGAAUGGCCUAGUCAAAGUCCAGCCCUGAAUCAGCUGAAAGCCUGAGGUGUGACCUGAUGAUGUACAUCUGAUCUGGAGGCACGCCGCACUUUUCAGAUUUGAUCUAUGAGACGAUCUGAUUGGUUCGUCCCAUCACAGACAGAACCGGGUUCUGUUCAGGUCCAACGGGCUCAGAACAGGUUCUGGUUUCGCUCAGGCUGCCGCAGUCACAGCAGCUGACUCAGAACACAGCCCAGAGGAUUUGGGUCGAGGCCGGAACCGGGUCAGCCGGAACCAGGUCACCCCACAUAGACUGAGGAAAGCCCGACCCGUUUGCUCAGCAACCAGAACCGAGCCAUUAUCCAGACCCAAGAUGGAGCUCAGGAGGGUUCUGAUCCGAUUCUGUACAGAACUCCAGAUUACCGGUUCUGAGCCUCCAGAACCGGGUCGGACAGGUCCGCAGUGUUUUGGGUCGCUCAGUGAAGAGCGUCACUUUGGUUCUGUUGGGAAACAUUCUGAGCCAGUUGGACCAGGCCUCAGAACCAGAAUCAUUUACCUUCCUCUGGAGCGACCCGAUUCUGACCCGAUUCCAGUUCUAUCAGCCGAGCCAGACCAGAACCUAGAUUUCAAAAUAAAAACCAGUCUGUUGAUACAGAACUCUGCAGAACUCUGGUUGGAUUCUGGUGAACCCGGUUCUGUUUGGACCUGCAUGGUGCUCCACCAGAACUUAACUGGGUCACAGAACCUUGGACUUGAGCCAGUUUCCGCUCUCAGGAGGAUUGUUCUCAGCGGUUCUGACCCGGUUCAGCUUACAGGACCAACCAAUCAGAGCGUCUCCCACCGCCUGACCACUUCCUGGUUUCUGACCAAUCAGAGCUCAGAGUGUUCUGGUUCAGGUUGACCCCCCCCCGGAAGGGAUGGCAACCAGUGACUCAGCAGAACCGGAUCCAGAACCAAACGGUCAUUCUGGAUGAAGUACGCGUUUCCAUAACAACUCAAACUAUUUCAGCUUCCUCACGCUUUGCAGCAAAGCAUUAUGGGAAAAACCAGACAAGAAACACCACAGAACAGCAGCUGCCCCCUGGUGGUAACAGCUGCAUGUUGUCUCCAGAGCAGAACUUCUACUGAGAUUAGAUCUAUAAUCUGACCAGAAUAUAUCUGUGAUCGUCUCCAGAAACUCGGACUGACACAGAAUGGGUCAAAGGUACUUAAAGGGCCGGCGUCAUUAAAUAAACCUUUGGUCUCUCCAUCAUGUUUCCCUGCAGUGUUGUUCUGAUUCUUUCAUGUUAGAGAAAUCCUUUAGUUUCCAUGGCAACCAUUCAGCUGCUAAAACGUCUGGGUGGACCUAGCCCCGCCUUCAAGGCGCAGCUCC